rnacentral:lncRNA from 1 species
UAGUGGAGGAAGAUACUUGAAAGUAUGAAUUCUUAUGAUGAAGUUUCUUUAGAUUGGCCCAUUUCUAUGAGCUUACAGACAUGAUCUUUAUCUUAAGCAUCCUUCUGUAUUUUGGAAAGUUGUGUUAAACAAAGUGGGGAACAUGAGACAUGAGCAGGACAACUAUAGUUAUGGCAGAUGCCAGCAGAAUUCUUACAUUUCUGCCUGGUGUAUAAUUGGCAUAUACUCUGUCCACAGAGUUACGCUGAGGUGUCAGCUCUUUAAUCCCUUCUCGGGGCAAUGUCAACACACUGACCACAAUAAUUCAGCAUCACCACAGUAUGUACAGAAUCUGUGUUCUUUUCACCCACCAUUGCCUAAACACGUAUCUUUGUGGCCACUCUACAAGUAUCAAGGCAAUUUAAAUAACACUUAUAUAAUUUCACCAACCAAUAAAGAUUUUUCUAAACUAAUUCUUUCAUUUGUUUGUUGUUGUUGUUGUUUGCCUGUAUAUGGUGCUGACUUUAAUCUUGAAAUCAAGUCUGCAGUUACUUGCGUGUUCUUUAACUUUCUUCAUUUGGUAAUAUUCUCAAAGUACAUUAUUUUGUACUCUUGGCACUGAUUCUACCUAGUCAGCUUGUCAGGUAAUUUUGGCCAUACCUUAUGUAGAAGUGCUGCAGAAGAGAUUCCAUCGUUUUUAGAGUGCUCAUCAAAAGGAAUCUAUUUUUGAUGUGUUUUAGUUCCCAUGAUGCCACCCAUAGGGCCCUCAGUUUUGUACUUAUCAGUUUUCUCUGUUAGUGCCUGCUGUGAUCACCCUGUGAUAGGAGACAUUAAGCACCUUCUUUUCUUUUAACCCCUCCCCCAAUUUGAGAAAUGUUCAAUGAUUCUCAUAUACUAUAAUAAUUGCAGGACUAUGUGCCAAAUGAUUUGAUAUUUCUAGAAUUCCUUUAGACAGGCUGUUCUUGAAAUUUCUUUGUUGAACUUUCUUUCUAGCCUCAUAUUGGGAUAAUUACCAUCCUUCUGCCUCUUAAACAUUUGAAUUGUUGGUAUGAGCCAGCCACCAUUCAGCUUAGAGUAAAUUUUUAAUGAUGGUAGAAAGUGCUGCCUGUAUUCACACCAGGUGAAAUAAUGAAUAACAGUUGAGGGUACCAUUGUAUAUAAUGUUGGACUUUUUAGAUCUAAAGAUGAACUACAUUACCUACUAUGUUUCUCCAUGCC